ensembl:lncRNA
AGGAACGCUCCUGGGUUCCGCCACGGUAUAUUUUGGAUCCUUUACUCAUUGAUCAGUUUUAUAAUGAUCAUCCUGAUCAGGCUGGUGGGACGUCAUGAGCCAGCCGUUAUGGUGGGGAGUAAUGUCAUGAUUCUGUCACCACUUCCUGUUAGACUUAUUUUGUCAACUAGCAUCCAGCUUCCUGUUCCUGGCCUCGUAACUCCUCUUUAAUUUCCCUCAUUGGUUUCACCUGUCUCCCUAACUAUAUAAGCCAGUCUUGCUCUUACCUCCUUGCCAGAUUGUCUCAUCAGCACAUUGGUGAACAUUCCAGCCAGUUCCUGAAUCAGAUCCUUGAAGCCUGUGAACUCUACUCUGCCUGGAACCUGAAUUUUCUCUCUCUGCCUGAACCUUUAUCAAGAGAAUGCCUACUAGAACACACUGGUAGACUAUCCUGUGUGGUACAGUGGACUGUGUCUCUGCCUGUCACGUGGUAGACCAGGGUUUGAUUCCCAAGCAGAUCACCCCAUCCAUCUCAGAAGACCAACUAAAUCCUGUUAGCUAUACUGAUCCAGGCAAUAUCUGUAAGCCGAUUCACUCAGUUCCUUAUACUCCCUUCACGGACCCAUUGCUUACUCCACUGUAGCCACCUUCUGGCCUGGAUAGGACCUGCCAGCAUCCUGAGAACAUUGAAAGUUUAUUUUCAGUUUCUUUAAUAUCAAAGACUUAUUCACUUGUGUCUGUCUGUAAUUUUGGGUCCAGUAGUAAUUCCCUCACAUUCUGUUAUGUGGACAUUCAAAGACAUUCAUUUCAAUGACAUGGGAGUUGGUCCACCUUGAACACCUGACACAUCUAGUGUUAUAUGAAACACCUUAUUGCUCAAUAAAAAAAACUCUAAAGUUGGUCGUUUUCACUUUCUGUGUAAAACAGAGCAUAUCACAGAAAAGUUAAUGAUUUGUAAGUCACUGGGGUUGUGAGAUACAGUGAGAUGUGUAUAUGUGUCUCUUGUCACAUGAG